rnacentral:rRNA from 1 species
GCAGCCGCCGCGGUAAUACGUAGGGUGCGAGCGUUAAUCGGAAUUACUGGGCGUAAAGCGGGCGCAGACGGUUACUUAAGCAGGAUGUGAAAUCCCCGGGCUCAACCUGGGAACUGCGUUCUGAACUGGGUGACUAGAGUGUGUCAGAGGGAGGUAGAAUUCCACGUGUAGCAGUGAAAUGCGUAGAGAUGUGGAGGAAUACCGAUGGCGAAGGCAGCCUCCUGGGAUAACACUGACGUUCAUGCCCGAAAGCGUGGGUAGCAAACAGGAUUAGAUACCCCCGUAGUCCCUGUCUCUUAUAC